rnacentral:misc_RNA from 1 species
GGGAAAAAACGAAACGAACCCUGAACAACAGAGAAAAAGCGCGCCGCAUCUAAGCCUGCGGACUUGCCCUCAUCCGAAGGCACGUACAAGCCUUCUUUUUGCUGCCUCUUCGGCAAGUAGCGCGCACACAAGCUUCUUGCGGCGUGGGGACUCCCUCCUGCUCCUCCGCCUUCCCACGAACAUGACCCCUGGCGGUCAUCGCGUUAUCUGGACAUACAAAACUAGCAAUGCAUAUGCACAAGAAAGGACAGCACCACAUCUGUGACUACAAGCUACUCUUUCCUCCUCCUGUUUACAUAUUUCUUGGUGCUCGUGCGGUGCUCUGUGCCCCACUACACUCUUUACGUACUUCCCUGGCCGGCUCCUUGUCCCCCUAAACACACGAAUAAAUAUUUGACGAUACAACACACGCCCGCCCCCGUUGCAUACCCGUACACGCAACAACGUUGUCUGUGUGUGCUGAUGCCCUUGACGCGGUCCUCGCUGGCCGCUCCCCAACACAAUCCCAAUCUCUUAUUCGCCAACCAACGGGCACCGACCAAG